rnacentral:rRNA from 1 species
UACGGAGUGUGCAAGCGUUACUCGGAAUCACUGGGCAUAAAGCGCGCGUAGGCGGGCUUUAAAGUCGGUUGUGAAAUCCCUCAGCUCAACUGAGGAACUGCAUCCGAUACUGUCUGUCUUGAGGUCGGGAGGGGAGAUUGGAACUUCUGGUGGAGCGGUGAAAUGCGUAGAUAUCAGAAGGAACGCCGGUGGCGCAAGCGUUUCUCUGGACCGAAUCUGACGCUGAGGCGCGAAAGCUUGGGUAGCAAACGGG